rnacentral:rRNA from 1 species
AUUGAACGCUGGCGGUAGGCCUAACACAUGCAAGUCGGACGGUAGCACAGAGGAGCUUGCUCCUCGGGUGACGAGUGGCGGACGGGUGAGCAAUGUCUGGGGAUCUGCCCGAUAGAGGGGGAUAACCACUGGAAACGGUGGCUAAUACCGCAUAACGUCGCAAGACCAAAGAGGGGGACCUUCGGGCCUCUCACUAUCGGAUGAACCCAGAUGGGAUUAGCUAGUAGGCGGGGUAACGGCCCACCUAGGCGACGAUCCCUAGCUGGUCUGAGAGGAUGACCAGCCACACUGGAACUGAGACACGGUCCAGACUCCUACGGGAGGCAGCAGUGGGGAAUAUUGCACAAUGGGCGCAAGCCUGAUGCAGCCAUGCCGCGUGUAUGAAGAAGGCCUUCGGGUUGUAAAGUACUUUCAGCGGGGAGGAAGGCGAUGUGGUUAAUAACCGCAUUGAUUGACGUUACCCGCAGAAGAAGCACCGGCUAACUCCGUGCCAGCCGCCGCGGUAA